GUACUGGUUUCGACGGGAAUUCUGCAGUUCGGGAAGCCAUCCGCGGACUCCGGUCACCGCGUAAAAUUCCGGAACUUAAAUAUAAACGCUAAUAACGAUAAUUACGAAUUAGCUGCAGCCUGAGUGCUGCAUGUCGGUGCUGCAGGUUCCCGCGCCUGUGACUCCGGCAUCAAAUAAGGCGGGGCACUUUUUUCUCUAAGCUUUGCGAGUAAAAAAGAUUUUAUGAAGCUACCGCGUACAGAAGCCCGUCAUCCGGCCUCUGCACGGGGGAAUCAAUAAAGGAUGACUGUGAUGGGAGAAACCUGAAUGAAUGGGUUUUCGGACGCGGGUUCAACUCCCGCCUGGUCCACU
rnacentral:tmRNA from 1 species